rnacentral:lncRNA from 1 species
CAUGAAAUCAUAAUUAACUCAAGAUUAAGAUUACAGUAAAAUCAACGCCUAUGAGAUUUAAUAAGUCUGACAGUUAUUACAAAGUUAAUUAAAUCUCAUAUGUGAUCCUGUUCAAUGUAGUCGUACUACAUCAAUAAAUUCAUACAUGAUUAAGACAAAUCAUUUAAUGAAUUUAUUACAGUCUAUACCUAAAUAAAGUGCCCAACUUUAUUUAUCAACUGCGAACUAAAUUUAUUUAAUCAUAAGAUAACUUGUAUUUAUGUCUUCUGUGAAUCCACAUGGUGAUCACAUAAAUACAUAUAAUAUGAUUAAAUGGACUUUAAUACAAAUAUAAAUGCAAUUAAGAUAUUUGAAUAAAAUACCUCAUUUAUUUUAUUAAUCAGAAAAAUUGUUUAUUACAAUUAAAUAAACACAUAUGCUUUUAAAGAGCAUAUUUUCCCAACAAUCUCCCAGUAGCUCUCAAAGCAUAUCUGGCAUAUUGCACAUGCUCUAGGAGUCUAAGUGCAGGUUAUAAAGGUUUCCCACUAAUGGCCAUUGUAAUAAGAUUUGCCAUUUAGCAUCUAAUGCCAUUUGGGGUACUUUCAUAUAACCUUUCUACACUAUUCCCUUAUAAGAUGAUACUUCCUUUCAAUAUGUUUUGUUUCUUGUGGUUCCUUGGUUCCUUAGAUUGAGCUACCGCACCACCAUUAUCACAAAAUAGUUUAAGGGGUGCAGUUACAACAGGUAUCACCUCAAGAUUUCGUAGGAACUUGCAGAGUCAUAUAGCUUCUUUUGCAGCUUCAGAUGUAGCCACAUAUUCAGCUUUAGUUAUUGAGUCUGUGAUAUAAGAUUGUUUCACACUCAUCCAACUAAUAGCUCCACUUCCCAAUGUAAACACAUAGCUGGAAGUUGAUUUUCUAAAAUCCUUAUCUGACAAAAAAUCAGAAUUAGUAUAACCCACUAGAAUGAGUUCAUCACCAGAAUACACAAGCAUAUAAUUUUUAGUUCUUUUCAGAUACUUUAUAAUAUGCUUGACUGCAGUCCAGUAUUGAGGUCCAGGAUUAAAUUGAUAUUUGCUAACCAUCCCUACCGCAAAACAGAUGUCUGGCCUAGUGCAAAGCAUGGCAUACACGAGACUUCCCACAGCGUCUGCAUAGGGAACUCGUCUUCUUUCUCUCUAUCUCUUCAGAUGUUUUAGGUGAUUGAUCCUUAGAGAAUGUAAUUCCAUGUCUGAAUGGUAAUAAACCAGUCUUGGAAUUUUCCAUGCUAAAUCUAGUCAAUAUCUUAUCGAUAUACACCGCUUGAGACAAGGUUAAAGUUUUAUUCUUCCGGUCUCAUAGUAACUUGAUACCAAGAAUAUAACUUGUCUCUCCCAGGUCUUUUAUAUCAAAUUGUUUUGCUAACCAAAUCUUUAUUGUAGUCAAUACUCCUAUAUCAUUUCCAAUCAGGAGAAUAUUGUCUACACAAAGAACUAGGAAGGCUACAAAUUUUCCCUGAAUUUUUUUUUUUUUUUUUUUACACACAUGGUUCAUCAAUGUUCUGAAUGAAUCCAAGCGAUUUAAUCGCUUGAUCAAAUCUGAUGUUCUAUGACUGGGAUGCUUGCUUCAAUCUAUAAAUGGAUCUCUGCAACUUACAUACCAUGUGUACUUGCCCUUUUUGUAUAAAUCCAUCUGGUUGCUGCAUGUAGAUGUUUUCUUCAAGAUGCCUGUUAAGAAAGGCAGUCUUGACAUCCAUUUGCCAAAUUUCAUAAUCUAGCACUGCAGCAAUGGAGAGCAGAAUCCUGAUGGAUUUAAGCAUAGCAACCGGAGAAAAGGUUUCCUCAUAAUUGAUUCCUUCUUUCUGAGUAAACCCUUCGGCUACUAAUCUUGCUUUAAAUGUUUCCACCCUUCCGUCUACUCCUCUUUUUCUCUUGUAGAUCCACUUGCACCCUAUAGGUUUUACCCCAUUUGGUGCCUCUACAAGUUCCCAGACUUUAUUGGAAUACAUAGAUUCCAUUUCUUGAUUCAUGGCCUUUUUCAAAAUUCAACAUCUCUAUCUAUUAGAGUUUCGUUGUAACUAGUAGGAUCUUGUACAUGUUUAUCUGAGAUAGCCGUAUAGGUUUCUCCCAAAAACAUGCAUCUCGCAGGUAACCUAGUUACCCUCCCACUACGACGAGGUUCUAAAAGUGAUGAUUGUUCAAGGAUAAUCCUGUUCUGAUCAGCUGGUUGUUCUGUUCUUCCUAUUCUAUAACAGGUGUUGAAAGCUGAGCAUCAACCUGAUCUCUUUUGUUUCUCUAGUUUUACCUUACUCUUAGGUUAUAAGUCAUUAUAUAGUCUUCCUCAAAGAAAGUAAAGAAUAUUUCUAUAAAUACAUUCCUAUCUUGAGGACUAUAAUUCAGACUUUCCCUUAUUCCUUUAAGAUACCUAAAACAUGCAAGCUUCUGAACACGAAUCCAUCUUGUCUAUCUCUGAUUCUAGUAGAAAUACUAGUAAACUCCAAAUACGAAUGUGUCUCAAACCAUGUUUGUGACUUUUUCAUAAUUUCUUGGAGUAGUAGACACCGAGAUAGAUGAAACUAAGUUCAAUAAACUUUGUAGUUUCAAAUUCUAGUAUCUAGAAUCCAAAAGGUAAAUGAUAAACCACUUAGUAUAUAUCUUGUCUUAUCCAAAAGAAUCUUGUUUCUCCAUUUAAUUACACUAUUGUAUCAUAGUGUUCAUUGACAACCAAAUAGUGCUUGAAUUCUCCAUAGGGAUAUUCUUUGUUUCGAUCAUAUCGAAGUUCUUUUAUGUUCCUGUCUAAUUGCUUCUGUCUUAUCCACGUACUCUUUUGAAUUUCAAAAGCAAUGGAAUCAUGACGCAUUUAGACAAACAUAAAUAAAAUGAAUAUUCAUCAACAAGAUUGAUAGAAUACUCAUAACCUCUUAUUACAUGUAAACUGAUUAGUCCGUAUACAUUUGUAUGCGCUAAAUCAUCAAAUACAAUGUUAUGCUUUUAGCUCAAAAAGAGCAUUCUUGUCAUAUUACUUUUCUAAAUAAGAUUUAUAGAGUUACAAUGAUCAAUCUUAAUAGGCCAACAAGUCUAUCAUUAAUCAUUUUCUUAAAAUCUUAUUAUAGUUUAUAUGACUUAAGCAUAAAUAUCAGAGGUGAUUUUUGGUUAGAAGAAACAUUUCUUUUCUUAGAUAAAUGCAUAUACUUUUUAUCAUUAUAUCUUACUUUGAAUAGAUCAAUGUACUUCUAUGAUAUAAAUUGUCUUUAUAAAUAACCAAAAUAAGUAAUAAACAGAGGAUCCAUAAAUAACAGUGUACUCCUGUUUAUUAAAACAAGCCACCGAAAUUAAAUUUCUCUAAUAUUUGGAAAAAUAAAGACAAAUAUCAAAACUAAAGUCUUGUAAAAAUUGAUCUAGUCUUUCAAUUGAUAUAAACUAGCAUGUCCUCAAUUGCUGUUUGAAGCUUUCUUCACUUAAUCUCUUGGUUUCCUGAAAACCAAAUAAAUGAAUUACAAAUAAGAUUAGUUAUCUCAGAAUUCAUUAUUGUAUGAUUCAAUAGAAAUCUGAACUAAUUAGGAAGCUUAAAGAUUUCCUAUACCUGAUUUUAAUAAUCUUAGGACAAUCUUUCUUCCAGUGACCCUUCUGUCCACAUUUGUAACACUUGCCUAUUGGCUUGCCACUUCUUUUAGUGGACAGUUUGCCGAUCCCAACUCUUGCUUGCUCAUUCUUGUCUUUCGACUUAAGCCUUGAAGAGAAUCCUUUUUCAGGAAGUUUUCUGCUAUGAUAAAAUUCUUCUAUAGCAUGUAGUUCGUGCAUUAAUUCAAUUAAGGUCAUAUCUUUAUUGUUUAAGAUAUAAUUGACCUUAAACUCUUUGAAUGUAUCAGGUAAAGAUUCAAUCACCAUGUUAAUCUUUGAUUUAUCAUUGAUUUGAACACCAUGAAUCUCUACCUCAUUCAAAUAGUCCAUCAUUUUGAGGACAUGAUCACGAACUUUUGUGCCCUCUUCCAUCUUAGUAUUCGUAAUACGUUUUAAUGCUGCUUCUCUGGCAAAAUGGGUAUUUUGCCCAAACAUCUGAUGAAGACUAGCCAUUAUUUCAGUGGUUGUUUCCAUGCUCUGAUGUUUCUUAUGCAGUUCCACAGAAAUCGAAGCCAAUAUAUAACGCUUAGCCAUUUUGUUAGCUUCGCACCAUUUCUCAUAAGGCUCCCUCUGAUUUCUAUAAUCGUAUAACGAUGGUUCAGGAGGGCAAGGCUGGGUCAACACAUAUUUGCUUCCCUUAGCAGUGAGAAUAUUAAAUAGAUUGAGUUUCCAAUCUAAAUAAUUUUCGCCAUUGAGUGCAUUUUUAACAAGGAUAAUUAAUAAUGGGUUGAUGGAAAACAUUUUCUGAAAAAAUAAAACAAAAUAAACAUGCAUAAAUAUUUUGAAACAAUAUUCACAAUAAAUGACAAAAAUGCAAAAAAUCAUAAAUGCAUUUUAAUUUAUUGUAACGAUAAUCUAGUACCGCUUUGACAAGCUAUCCGUUGGGGAAGUCAUGUCUACACUUACUAGACCCAAUUAUCCAUUAGAUUAUUUACUUUCAUGUAGAGACAUGAUAAAUAAUUAUCGUUAUUCCUUUGGGCCUAAAUUUGUUAACAGAGCUUCGUUGGGAAGGUUAAUAACAAACUUUAGUUGAGUGUAUAACCAUUGUUUCAAUCUAUGUAUUUUUCAUAUCAAUAGUCACCGUUGGGGUGAACAAUCGAUUGAAAAAUAUUUCAAUUUUAUCUAUGAAGAAGUUCAUCAAAUAAAAAUCUAAUAUAUAUACCCUCCGUAGGGAGCAUCACCGUAUCAUGAAGUCGAGGUAUAUAUAUAAUUUUAUUAUUGAACUAACAAUGGAGCCCGUGCAAAAAAUUAUCUUGAAUUUUUCCUCUCCCACUCAAUAUUUUAAAAUUGAUUUUUCCUUUUUAAAACAUUCAUAUUGUUAAUUGCAUGCUUCCUAUAAUAUUAUCUAGAUGAUAUCAAAUAUUAUUAAGCAUGUGCAAAUUUCAAACAAUAUAAUGAAAUUCAUAAUUAAUAAAUGACAUGUAUCAUUAUGCAUAGAGUGGCACUACCUAUUCUAUAUGACAUGUUAUCAUGGCAUGUUAUCAUCCAAAACAUAACAUAUAGAAAAACAAUUAAAUAAUCUUAAUUCAUGGCUUUCCUAGUAAUGAAAAAUACAUUAACCCUAAGCCUAAUCUUCAUUGGGCUUCUUGUCAAUGUCCAUCUUCCAUAAGUUUGUCUUUGUUAAUGGACUAGGGGAAAUUGGGCUUUUAAAUUUAUAAUUGGUCCAAUUUUAAUUUUGAAAGGAAAUAAAUAAAAUAAAUAGUUUUAAUUUUAUUUUUAUUAAAAUAAAAUUUUUGGACCAAAAAUAAAUUUAAUGUAUUUAAUUUUAUCUAUGCAUUUUUAAUCCUUUAAGCCUAAUUGAAAUUGGGCCUAAAACUAGGAUUCUUUAAGUCCAAAACGGUUUUUGGACUUAAAUGCAAAAAAUUAAAAAUGUUUCUGCCCAACUGAAAAAUAUGAAACUAUAGGGACCUCCACGAUAAAAACCAUGGAACCCUAAAAUCACAUUUUUCUUUUCCUCUUCUUCCCCAGCCGCCACCAGCACAAAAACCCAGCCGUUGUUUACUGUUUCCACACCGGACAGCCGUCAUCGACGCCGGAAAGACGCCAACCAGAACGCUCCGCGCCUCCAGCCUACGUUCACGCUGCUGCUUGGGCGCUGCAGCUGCUGCUCGCGCGCUGCAGCUGCUGCGUGUGCAGCUCGCGCGCUGCAGCUGCUGCGUGUGCAGCUCGCGCUGCUAGCAGCGUGGCUGCUGGCCGCUGCGCGCGCUGCUGGCAGCAUGUGCUGCUGGCCGCGCGCUGCUCGCGCAGCAGCGUAUGCUGCUGGCCGCUCGCUGCUGCGUGUGCUGGUUCGUUGCUGCAGUUUCCAGCACGUUUCCGCAAUUUUCCAGUGAUGAUGCUUCGGUGAUUUACAAAUUUUCAACGCAAAUUUUGGCUUUACCAAAUUUCAAUUACAGUAAAAUAAAUCAAGAGGGAAACAUGGUGAUAAAAAACCACCCCUCUUGUUACAGAUCCAAAGAAAAAUACAACGGAAAAUCUAACCAUGAAUUAAGACAAACCAAAACAUGCUUUAUUCAUAUAUUAAACAAAUAAUAUAUAUCUGAAUAAAUUGUGCCACUCUAAUACAUAAAUUUCAAGAAUGAUUUCAUACGAAAUUCUUAUAUAUUAAUAUGAGAUGACUCUGAUACCAAUUGUUGGGGAAAAAUUAGGUUUUUAAAUUUUUAUUAAACCUUUUGAAGAUCGCUCUCAUAUAAUAUAUAAGAAUACGUAAUCCAGAAAUCGUACCUUGAAAAUCCGAUUUGGCUUUUUCCGUUGAAAUGAUUUAGGCUCCUAGAUCACGAUCCGCCACCACCACUCCUGUUAGAUCACGAUCCGUCACCACCACGCUUGCUAGAUCACGAACUGUCACCAAUGAUCUUCCAGGUUAUGACUCAGGUUCGAUCUGCACUUGACGUGUGGGCGCCUUUAUCACUACCAAAGCAACUAGCACGAGAAAAUUUUUCUCUCAACAAUGGAGAGAAAAAUCUUAUUCUCUGAUCUGUAUAAAGUGGCUUCUCCUAUUUUCUUUAGGGAAAAAUAAGCCUUUUAUAUCACCCUUUAGUGAAAACCCUAGGCUCCAAAUAAUGCUCUAAAUAAAAUUCACGUUAUUUUCUUUUUCAAUAGGGGACCCACCUUGUAAAAUAACAUAAGGCCCCUUAUACAAAAGCUAAUUAAAUGGAGCCUCUCACUAGAUGAUAUAUUUAGGCUUUUGACCCAAAUAGCUAGUUAUCUUACUUAUUAGUCCAGUAGUGGUGCAGUCAAUUAAAUGAGCUAACCCGGGGAUCAUUUGGGAACAUACAAUAGUGGCUACAAUAAUUAGGCCUGUAAUUAAACUAGCCCAAUUAUUUAAUUCCAAAUCUACUCCACUAAAAGAUUGGAACUGACUUCCAUAAUUGUAUGCUCGAAUAAUAAUUCGUCCCAAGCCACAUUGAUUUCUUUACUGCACAAUCCUUUGUACCACAUCGUUAAUUAAAUUGAUAUCUCAACUGUCCAAUCAAUUUAAUAACAUCUUAUUCCUUGAUCCUUACUGGUUUUCUCUAAUGAUCAUUUUCAACAUACUAAAUAUGUUGACACACUCUGGCCAGAGAAUUCUAUGAUCAAGUGCCGAAAACCCAUCAAGAGAUGUGUUGUACAAAUUCUAUAUUGUUAAUCCAUAACUCCAAUACUCAUAAUUGCUCCCACCAAGAUACCGGGUAAUCUUGACCACAAGGCUGUGUCGUGCCCAUUGGUAACUCAAAUGGAAUAACAAUUACAAUCAUGAAAUCAUAAUUAACUCAAGAUUAAGAUUACAGUAAAAUCAACGCCUAUGAGAUUUAAUAAGUCUGACAGUUAUUACAAAGUUAAUUAAAUCUCAUAUGUGAUCCUGUUCAAUGUAGUCGUACUACAUCAAUAAAUUCAUACAUGAUUAAGACAAAUCAUUCAAUGAAUUUAUUACAGUCUAUACCUAAAUAAAGUGCCCAACUUUAUUUAUCAACUGCGAACUAAAUUUAUUUAAUCAUAAGAUAACUUGUAUUUAUGUCUUCUGUGAAUCCACAUGGUGAUCACAUAAAUACAUAUAAUAUGAUUAAAUGGACUUUAAUACAAAUAUAAAUGCAAUUAAGAUAUUUGAAUAAAAUACCUCAUUUAUUUGGAUAGACACUCAGGCUACAACCAGAUUGCUAUAACACCAGAGGAUCAGGAGAAUACAUCAUUUACUUGUCCUUAUGGAACCUUUGCCUUGGGAAGAAUGCCAUUUGGUCUGUGCAAUGUUUUAACAACUUUCUAGAGGUGUAUGAUGUCUAUUUUUUCAUAUAUGCUUAAGCAAACUCUUGAGGUAUUUAUGGAUGAUUUUUCAAUUCUUGGGAAUCAUAUGAUAAUUGUUUGCAUAAUCUAAAAAAUGUGCUUAAGAGAUGUGAAAAGACAAACUUAGUAUUGAAUUGGAAAAAAUGUCAUUUUAUGGUACAAGAAGGGAUAGUAUUAGGUCAUAGGGUCCCUAGAAAGGGAAUAGAGGUGGAUAAGGCAAAAAUAGAGGUGAAUGAUAAACUUCCGCCACCUACUUUAGUAAAAGGCAUUAGGAGUUUCUUAGGACAUGGUGUGUUUUAUAAAAGGUUUAUUAAGGUUUUUUUUCCAAAUAUUCAAACCUUUAUACAUGUUGCUGAACCAUGCUCAAAGGCCUUUGUUAGGUUAAAGAGAGCCCUUGUUACAAUAGUAAUUGUUGUAGCACCCGAUUGGAGUAUGCCUUUUGAGUUAAUUUGUGAUAUUAGUGACCACUCUGUUGGAGCAAUGCUAAGGCAUAUGAAAGGCAUGAUUUUUCACUCCAUUUAUUAUACUAGCGAGACCCUAGCUGAUGCACAACUCAAUUUUACUACUAUUGAGAAAGAGUUGCUGACAAUAUUUUCUGCAUUUGAUAAAUUUAGAGCUUAUUUUGUUGGUACCAAAGUAACUAUUUAUACAGAUCACUCAGUAUAAAGUAUUUGAUUUUAAAGAAAGAUGUCGAACUAAGGUUGAUUACGUAAAUUAUGUUACUACAAGAGUUUGACUUAGAGAUCGAGGACAACAAAGGCACUGAGAAUUAAGUCGCAGAUUAUCUCUAAAGGCUGGAAGUAAAUGUAAGCACUCUAACUAAGCAAGACAUAACAGAAACAUUUUUUGAUAAGUAGUUACUGAUGAUACAACACGUAUAAAUGCUGUAGCAAUUUGGAUUUUCAUGCUAUGUAGAUUUUCUUAAUUAUUUGAUCUGAGCUACGAGCAGAAGAAUAGAUUUCUCCAUGAUAUUAGAAGCUAUCGCUGGGAUGAUCCCUACUUGUACAAGAUGUGUUCCAAUCAUAUGAUCAGAAGAUGUGUUUCUGAUGAAGAAAUUUCAAACAUCUGUAGUCUUGUCAUGUUGCAGCACAUGGUGGACAUUUUAUAGACACAGAACAACAACAAAAGUUCUUCAAUCAGGAUAUUACUGGCCUUUCAUUUUUAGAGAUGCUUAUGAGUUUGUUAAAUGUUGUGACAGGUGCCAAGGAACAUGAAACAUCUCUCAAAAGCAUGAAAUGCCACUAACUAACAUCUUGGAGGUUAAACUUUUUUAUGUAUGGGGAAUAGACUUUAUGGGACCAUUUCCACCCUCCUUUGGCAACCUAUACAUCUUAAUUGCUGUGGACUAUGUAUCUAAGUGGAUAGAAGCCGCAGCAUCGCCAACAAAUGAUGCUAAGACAGUCGUGAAGUUUCUUCAGAAGAACAUUUUCUCAAGAUUUGGCACUUCUAAAGCCAUUGUCAGUGAUAAAGGAACCCAUUUUUGCAAUAAGAUGUUUGUUGCAGCAUUGACUAAGUAUAAGAUCAAGCAUAAGGUUGCUACAGCAUAUCAUCCACAAACAAGUGGUUAGGCAGAAGUAUCUAACAAGGAGAUAAAAAAGAUUCUGGAGAAAGUAGUGAAUCCAAAUUGAAAAGAUUGGUCUCUUAGACUAAAUGACUCCUUAUGGGCUUAUCGAACAACUUACAAAACCCCACUUAACUUGUCUCCAUAUCGAAUUAUUUAUGGUCAAGCUUGCCACUUGCCAUUAGACCUAGAGCACAAAGCAUAUUGGGCAAUAAACAAUUAAAUAUGGAUACAACAAUUGCAAUAGAGCAAAGGAUGUUAAGCUUUGUGAGCUAGAAGAGUUGCGGUUUUUCUCUUAUGAAAAUGCAAGACUCUACAAGGAGAGGACCAAGCAAUGACAUGACAAGCAAAUUCAGUAUAGGGAGCUCAUUUCAGGCCACCAAGUCUUGCUCUAUGAUUCACGAUUAAAACUUUUCCUUGGAAAAUUAAAGUUUAGAUGGUCAUGAUCUUUCAAACUUAUCAAGGUUUAUCCUCACGGGGCUGUAGAGUUCCAAGAUGAAAGGAUAGGUCAAAAAUUCAAGGUGAAUGGACAAAGAGUGAAGCACUACAUUAAACUUGUUGUGAAUAAUCCAAGGGAGGAUUUGUUCUUAAAGGAUCUAGCUUGAGCAAUCAGAGAUGGUCAGGUUGAAGGACUUAAAAUUAAGCGUUGAUUGGGAGAUAACCCAAUAAGGGAAGUUGUUUUAUAAUACCCAAAUCUAACAAGUGCGGUGCACACGAUUAAGAAGGUUGCUUACAAAUCAUAAUCCUUACACAAAAAAUCUCAAACUGAAAUACCUCAAAUUUUUAAUCAACUAAAACCACAAAUCUAUGUGUCUAACACGAAAUAAUCUCUCUCGAAGACAUAAAUAUAACAAAAGUCUUAUAACUCCCCAAUUACAGGUUCAUAAAAUAAAUAAACUUGAAAGAAACAUGAGUUUAUCAUUCCCUUAUUUAACUAGCAAAAGGACACAAAUCUUUAACUCCAAUGAUAAGCACACCUCUCAACAAGGUACUUAAUCUACAAAAAGUAAUGACGAGGGGUGAGCCGUCAACUUGGUAAGUAAAACAAUUUCCAACACACUAAGCUUAUUGAUACAAAAAAUAUUGCAAACCUUCUUUUUAUUAAAACAUAUUAUAGUUAAUAAAUUUCAUAAAACGACAUAUCACUCUAAAAUGACAUAAAUUCAUAAAAAAUCAUAAUAUCAAAAGCAUAAUUAAUUGUGGAAGUAAAUUGUAUAACACAUAGAUAGAAAACAAAAUGUUAGCUUAUGUCACAUAGUGUCACCUGUACUCUUGGUAAUCUAGCUAGAAAUAGAAUUUGAAUUAGAUAUUGUGUGCACACUCAGAAUAGAAACCCAAUACUGGUCUAGAAUAUUCAGAAUAACUAUGGACAAUGAGCCAAAACAUUCAAAUUAGUUUUUCAUAUGUAAUGGCUUGUAUGUGGCAUUUCGCGAUGUUUUGGCCCUUGAGAAGUGGCCCCCAUAUAAUCUCAAGAGGUGGCCCUCGUACAAUCAUAAAUAAUUUAAAUCGUACAUGGGCAAAAAGUAUUCGUAUCAGAUUCAAAAAUGUCUAUAACAAU